rnacentral:rRNA from 1 species
UACAGAGGUCCCAAGCGUUGUUCGGAUUCACUGGGCGUAAAGGGUGCGUAGGCGGUCGGGUAAGUCUGAUGUGAAAUCUCACAGCUUAACUGUGAAACUGCAUUGGAUACUAUCCGGCUUGAGGAAUGGAGGGGAGACUGGAAUACUUGGUGUAGCAGUGAAAUGCGUAGAUAUCAAGUGGAACACCAGUGGCGAAGGCGAGUCUCUGGACAUUUCCUGACGCUGAGGCACGAAAGCCAGGGGAGCAGACAGG